CGGAUGCUGAGGUGGCUUUUCUCUUCUUGAUCGGUGCUGUGAAGGAUGGCUGACUCUCCUCUCCAACAUACAGGUUACAGGUGGUGUCAGGACUGACGGAUCCAGGAAUCAAACAGAUGAUGUUGAAGUCCUCAUCAAAUUUGAUUGUAAUGUCUGGUUUUGGAUCUGUUAGGAAAGGACAGAGAUUCCUUUUUGCAUCACUCUUUGAAUGUAAUGUGUAUGUCACAAGUGACACUCUUACUAAACUAGAGCCUGCCAUUCUCUUUAUAUUACGUAUCAGCAUGUCUUAUUUGAUAUCAUUCCUAUUUAUGAGUGCCAUUUAAUCUUGUGUGCUGUGCAUUUACAACGAUUGCCUUUCACUUACUUCCUUACAUUCUCACGGGUGAAUCAAAUUGAUUUGCAUGGACUAUUUUGCUUGCUUGUAUGGUGUGCUGUGAUUCCAAAAAUGAACACAGACUAAACUGACAUUGAGAUGAUUCUCUAUCACCUUCUCCCUCCCUAAACAAAUUGCUAAACACUCCCCAGAACUAGAGUUAAAAAGGAACUGAACCAGGGACAUCUCGACCGACUUGCUUCUCGUUUCCGCUGGUCGCCUGCUGUGGGAAAGACACAAAUCACAAAGCUCUUUAUAACACUACUAAAGGAAAGUGCUUGUUUCGAACGCGUGUGUGACCCCAAUUGUUGGCCAGUACAUGCUCUAAUUGUAUGUUUUCUGUCCCCCACAACUACAGACACGGGGGACACGCUUGACGCCGCUACACCCAACUCUAAUACACAGCCAGGCCGGUGCAGAGUGAGGGACAGAAGGCGACCUACCACUGAACACCAAACCAGCAAUUGACUACCAGACCAGCCAUCGACUAACGAUCCCUGCUCAGCAGGAAGAGCCGAACCCUGUUCGGGUAGAGCCGAACUAAUCCUGCUCGGGGAAAACCGAACAAACAAACCCUGCUCGGGAAGGACCAGAAUGAACAUUGGCCACCAAUCGGGAGUCAACCGCUGUGUUAGUUUGUCCCGUUGCUUCUAGUUAGCCUACAACCCUAAAUCCCAGACUAUUUACAUGUUUCUAAUAGUUUAUAAAGAACCUUUGAUUGUA